rnacentral:rRNA from 1 species
ACUCAAAUGAAUAGACGGGGGCCCGCACAAGCGGUGGAGCAUGUGGUUUAAUUCGAAGCUACGCGAAGAACCUUACCAGGCCUUGACAUAUAAGUGGUAGAGCCCCGAAAGGGAAUCGACUGUUGGGAAACCAAUAGAGCUUAUACAGGUGGUGCAUGGUUGUCGUCAGCUCGUGUCGUGAGAUGUUGGGUUAAGUCCCGCAACGAGCGCAACCCUUAUACUUAGUUGCCAGCACACAAGGUGGGCACUCUAAGUAGACUGCCGUCGACAAGACGGAGGAAGGUGGGGAUGACGUCAAAUCAUCAUGCCCUUUAUGGUCUGGGCUACACACGUGCUACAAUGGCCUGAACAACGGGCAGCGAAGGAGCAAUCCCAAGCGAACCCCUUAAAACAGGUCUCAGUUCGGAUUGCAGGCUGCAACUCGCCUGCAUGAAGUAGGAAUCGCUAGUAAUCGCGGAUCAGCAUGCCGCGGUGAAUACGUUCUCGGGCCUUGCACACACCGCCCGU